GGGCCUUUAGCUCAGCUGGUAGAGCAGCAGACUCUUAAUCUGCUUGUCGCCGGUUCGAAACCGGCAUGGCUCA
rnacentral:tRNA from 1 species